AUAAGAAUCACCUGAGGAUCUCUUUAAAAUGCAGAUUCUAAGGCAGUGGGACUUGGUGGAACCUGAGAUUCUGCAUUUCUAACAAGCUCCUAGGUGAUGCCAAU
rnacentral:pre_miRNA from 1 species